CUCCCUGUCUCACUCUCUCUCUGUCUCACUCUCUCGCCAUUAUUGCCACUUUCCUUCCCUUUUUUCUCUGUGAAUCUCACUCAGUCUCUUUCCAUUCCAACAACAACCUCUCUCUCUUCGCUCUUUCUCUUUCUGCAUAUAUGCCAACCUCUCUCUCUGCCCACCUCUGAUAUAUGCCAACCUCUCUCUCUUCUCUCUCUCUCUCUUUCUGCAUAUAUGCCAACCUCUCUCUCUUCUCUCUGUCUCUCUUUCUGCAUAUAUGCUAACCUCUCUCUCUUCUCUCCCUCCCUUUCUGCAUAUAUGCCAACCUCUCUCUCUUUUUCUGCAUAUAUGCCAACCUCUCUCUCUUCUCUCCCUCCCUUUCUGCAUAUAUGCCAACCUCUCUCUCUUUUUCUGCAUAUAUGCCAACCUCUCUCUCUUCUCUCCCUCCCUUUCUGCAUAUAUGCCAACCUCUCUCUCUUCUCUCUCUCUCUCUUUCUGCAUAUAUGCCAACCUCUCUCUCUUCUCUCUCUCUCUUUCUGCAUAUAUGCCAACCUCUCUCUCUGCCCACCUCCCAUAUAUGCCAACCUCUCUCUCUUCUCUCUCUCUCUUUCUGCAUAUAUGCCAACCUCUCUCUCUUCUCUCUCUCUCUCUUUCUGCAUAUAUGCCAACCUCUCUCUCUGCCCACCUCCCAUAUAUGCCAACCUCUCUCUCUUCUCUCUCUCUCUCUUUCUGCAUAUAUGCCAACCUCUCUCUCUUCUCUCUCUCUCUCUUUCUGCAUAUAUGCCAACCUCUCUCUCUUCUCUCUCUCUCUCUUUCUGCAUAUAUGCCAACCUCUCUCUCUGCCCACCUCCCAUAUAUGCCAACCUCUCUCUCUUCUCUCUCUCUCUUUCUGCAUAUUUGCCAACCUCUCUCUCUUCUCUCUCUCUCUCUUUCUGCAUAUAUGCCAACCUCUCUCUCUUCUCUCUGUCUCUCUUUCUGCAUAUAUGCCAACCUCUCUCUCUUCUCUCCCUCCCUUUCUGCAUAUAUGCCAACCUCUCUCUCUCUUUCUGCAUAUAUGCCAACAUAUCUCUCUUUCUCUAUUGUCUACCCAUCUACCAUCUCUAUCUCAUCUUUCUCUCUUUCCCUUCUAUUUCAUCUCUCGCCCUCUACCCUCCUCUUCACCCUCUCUCUCAAUCCCUUCUUGCCCUCCCCCUGUUUUUAGCCAGUCAUGAGGUGAGAUUUCCCAUGCUUGUUUCCUCUCCAUGCCUCUCUAUGCAAAUGCAGAUUACCAGGUUAAGUCUCAUUGUUCCUUCCCUCUCUGCUGCCUAAAAACAAUAAAGGAGAUGGCAAAAGUGAAUGUGUUU
rnacentral:lncRNA from 1 species